AUGCUUCGAUUACACCUCGAAGGAAUCGCGAAAAACCAAGUUGCCGUCUAUGAUCCUCUCAGGAAAUGGAUGGACAACUGCUACCGCGGGGUACCCCUUGGCGGACUAGGUUCAGGAAGCAUAGGGAGAAGCUACCGAGGGUACUUUCAGCAGUUUCAAAUAUUCCCCAGGAUCUAUGAAGAGAAGCCUGUCCUUGCCAACCAGUUCUCAGCAUUUGUCUCGCAUCCUGGCGGGAAGAGCUACUCGAUGGUGUUGAAACUGGUAUGCUGCUAUUUUUGUCAGGCUCGCCUUUUCGAUGUGCAAAAUGAUGAGGGAUAA
rnacentral:rRNA from 1 species